AGCACGUUACACGUGCAUUCGGUAACCUGGAUCUCGCCCCGACGAGUGGUCGGUUCGUUUCAUCGACCAACGAUACACGGAGCUCUCUUCGUUUCGUCGAAACGAAGAGGAGGAAGCAAGGGACAAACGUUUAGGAUAUUGUUCAGGCGAAAUUAAAGACAAAAAGAAAAAAGAAAAAGAGAAGAAA